AUCCAGUUGACGAGUACCAAAUAAAACGAAAUGCACGUCGUGGAU
rfam:Schistosoma curassoni strain Dakar, Senegal genome assembly, scaffold: SCTD_scaffold0006721